GUGACAGAAGAGAGUGAGCACAUAUGGUGUUUUCUUGCAUGAUAUGUUUAUCCCAUGCCUGAAGCUAUGCGUGCUCACAGCUCUAUCUGUCAC
rfam:Nicotiana sylvestris Nsyl_contig41306, whole genome shotgun sequence.